UAAGUUACUAAGAGCACACGGGGGAUGCCUAGGCUCUCAAAGGCGAAGAAAGACGUGAUAAGCUGCGAUAAGGUUCGGGGAGAAGCAAAUAUUUUGUGAUCCGGACAUUUCUGAAUGGGGAAACCCGUCUGGUUGAAGACCAGUCAUCCGAAAGGAGGCAAACGCACUGAACUGAAACAUCUAAGUAGGUGCAGGAAGAGAAAACAAUAGUGAUUUCCGUAGUAGCGGCGAGCGAAGUGGAAAUAGCCCAAACCGUUUUUGUUUCGGCAAAAUCGGGGUUGUAGGACUACAAUAUCCGUAAUAAAGUAUAGUGGAACAAGUUGGAAAGCUUGGCAAUAUGAGUGAUAGCCUCGUACACGAAAUGCUUUAGAAGGUAGUAGUAUCCUGAGUAGGGCGGGACAUGUGAAAUCCUGUCUGAAUCUGCCAGAACCAUCUGGUAAGGCUAAAUACUCUUGAGAGACCGAUAGCGAACUAGUACCGUGAGGGAAAGGUGAAAAGAACCCUGAAUAAGGGAGUGAAAUAGAUCCUGAAACCAUACGCUUACAAGCGGUCGGAGCAGCGUAAGUUGUGACGGCGUGCCUUUUGCAUAAUGAGCCUACGAGUUACCGUUGCUAGCAAGGUUAAGUGAUUAAGUCACGGAUCCGUAGCGAAAGCGAGUCUGAAUAGGGCGUUUUAGUUAGUAGUGGUAGACGCGAAACCGUGUGAUCUACCCAUGGGCAGGGUGAAGCUGUAGUAACAUACAGUGGAGGCCCGAACCGAUAUACGUUGAAAAGUGUUCGGAUGACCUGUGGGUAGGGGUGAAAGGCCAAUCAAACUCGGAAAUAGCUCGUACUCCCCGAAAUGCAUUUAGGUGCAGCGUUGAUUUAUAGUUUUAUAGAGGUAGAGCUACUGAUUGGAUGCGGGGGCUUCACCGCCUACCAAUUCCUGACAAACUCCGAAUGCUAUAAAAUGUUAAUCAGCAGUGAGGGCAUGGGUGCUAAGGUCCAUGUCCGAAAGGGAAAGAACCCAGACCAUCAGCUAAGGUCCCCAAAUAUAUGUUAAGUUGAAUAAACGAGGUUGAACUGCUUUGACAGCUAGGAUGUUGGCUUGGAAGCAGCCAUUCAUUUAAAGAGUGCGUAACAGCUCACUAGUCGAGCGAUCGUGCGUGGAUAAUAAUCGGGCAUUAAACAUACUGCCGAAGCUAUGACAUCGAAAGAUGGGUAGGGGAGCAUUCUAUAUGCGUUGAAUGUGAGGGGUGACCUUCGCUGGAGCGUAUAGAAAAGCAAAUGUAGGAAUAAGUAACGAUAAAGCAGGCGAGAAACCUGCUCACCAAUAGACUAAGGUUUCCUUGGCGACGCUAAUCGUCCAAGGGUUAGUCGGGACCUAACGCGAACCCGAGAGGGGUAGUGGAUGGAUAAUGGGUUAAUAUUCCCAUACUUGGUAUAACUGCGAUGGGGUGACGGAGUGAUGAAAGAACCGCGUACUGACGGAAUAGUACGUUGAAGCGAGUAGUAAUACCGCGAUAGUACACUGCGACUACGGUCAAGGUGAUAAUCUAGCAAAUCGACUUCCAAGAAAAGCGAAUGAAGCAGCCCGUACCCUAAACCGACACAGGUAGUUGGGAUGAGAAUUCUAAGGAGCUCGAG
rnacentral:rRNA from 1 species